GUGCACGCAGUAUUCAAGAGGACUUCGUAGAGUCAUCAUGUUGCUACUCAGGCGGGAGCGGCAGUGGUGGUGGUGUUGCCUACUCCCCCUGGCGGUGAUGGUGGUGGUCGUGGGGGUAGCGGAGGGGGCGCCCGCGGAGGGGAGACUUCUUGGAUGGGGGGAGGGGGGCAGGGACUCUUGGGGUGGAUGUUCAGGAGUCGAUUAGGAGAGACUUCCGAUGGACCUCUGGAGGGAAGGAGGAGGAAGGAUAAAGAUGAAGCGCCCUUGAUUAAACAGAAGAGUCAAGGAAAACGGACCAAGCAAUACGGAGGAGGAGGAGGAGGAGGUGGUGGUGGUGGUGGCGGUGGUGGCGGUGGCGGUAGUGCUGGUGGUCAUGGUGGAGGAGGAGGUGGUGGUGGUGGUGGUGGAGGAGGCGUGUCCGUAGGAGGAGGAUCUUACAUAAAUAUCGGAGGUGGAGGAAAGCUCCCAUUAAUCGAAUCAGUAACCGGACAACCGAUAUAUGCAGCUGGGCAUUACGUCGGGCCCACCAUCACCAAUAUUAAGCCAGACACUCAAUCCGGCUCGAAUUUUCCUUGGUUCCCCUUCUUCGGCCUCUCCCACGAGUCCUCUCUUAACAUUGAUGGAGGAGGGGGGGGGUUCCAGCCUCUCCAUCCCCUCCCAUGCUGGCUACGUGGAUACACAAACACACAGCAGCAAGCCAUCCCAAACUGAAGUGAUGGUCUUUAGUUAUCCUUCCAUCGUAACCUCUCUCGGGAAAGCCUUCAGUUCUAUGACGAAGACUCUACGUCGUGUAGGUGAAAAUCUGGGAGACCGACUUUCUAACACCUUUGACUUCAGUUCCAUCCCUACACUCCUCGGCCACGGGGUAAAAGCAGUGUUGCCAAUUAAUAACAUAGACGAAAAAUUCCCUAGCGCCAUCCUAGAGAAGCCUACUGCCUCGGUCGGCGGGGUCCUCCUCUUCCUCCUCCUUUGGCUCCAUCUCCGCUCCUUCCAUUAGCUCGUCCUCCUCCCUCAGUCACAGCGGCCCUCUCUCCACCUCCUCAGUCUCCCAUUCCGGCUCGCUCUCCCCGCUGGGCAUUGAUUCAAGCUUACAGGUCAGCAGUAAUUUGAAUACGAACCUCUUGCAGGGUAUUCAACAAGGCAUCAACACUGGUUUGAAAGGAAUCAGCAGUGGAUUGAACACUUUGAGUAAUAUCCCUUCUAAUAUCGCGCAGGGUCUUAGUAAUAUUAAUGCUAACCUGCCAAGCUUAGAUUUAGGUACGCUUUCUCAUCAGAGUAGCUUCAAUCUUGGAGGAGGAGGAGGAGGAGGAAUAGGAGGAAUCAGCUUGGGUUCUAAGCCUGUUUCUGACCCCCAGGCUAACUAUCACAAGCCCCCGCGCUGUUGCUAGUGAUUAGAAUAGCCAUACUAAUUAUCUUUACACAGUUAUUAAGCCUUUAGUAACUCUUAAACGCACACGCUCCAUCUACGCCCAUCGCUGCAUCUGUUGAAGUGAUGCGGGUUUCCAGGCGUGUUUUUUUACGGUUCUAGUGGCAGAUUAAUAAGAUUCCUGCAUUGUGGACAGGGGAAAGAGUCUUGAGAACAUGGCUAAUCGUUUCUGCAGCCUUAGAUAAUACUCGUGGCGGGAAAUCAUGCGUAUUUCAUUGGUUUUAAAUCUUUUUUUUUUUCAGACAAGACGAUUAAUGCAAUAGGCUUGUUUCCCAUUUUCUUUUCCUUUUUGUCCGUUAGUGAUAAUUCUAUAGAUUAUUAUUUUUUCUAUUUUUUGUACUUAACUUUUCCCCACAAACACCAGAUUUAAGUCAAGAUGAAUAUUUUUAAGUUCGUAUCCCCUGCAAUUUCCCGCCAAAUCUAUGCCUCCCCCCCCCCCCGCUAUUCAAAACACGCAAAUUUCAUUCAUAGCCUAUUCAGAUCACUUAAAUAGCACAAAGGAACCAAAUAAAUGCUCUCUAUCUAUCUAUUCUAUAUAUAUUUUUUUUUUAACUGUUGAAACACGCUGCUGGCGGCGUAAAUAUAACAAGAAUAGAAUAGCCUUAAUAUUGUUAUUGUUACUCUUGUUAGUUGAUGUUAUUUAUACCACUGUUCUUGCGUAGAUAUUUACGUUAAUUUAUUUGGAGUUUACUCGUUGCCAUUGUGUGAAAGUCUUUUGUGUAGCUGUUUCUUUUGUUAAGGGUUGUUGUGUUGUAAUAAAAUAAUAUAUUUCUCGC